ensembl:snRNA U6 U6 spliceosomal RNA
GUGCUUGCUUCAGUGGCACAUAUACUAAAAUUGGAAUGAUACGGGGAAGAUUAGCAGGGCCCCUGCACAAGGAUGACAUGCAAAUUUGUGAAGCAUUCCGUAUUUUU